AAUAGAUACCCAGGUAGUCCACGCCGUAAACGAUGAAUGCUAGACGUUGGGGGGCUUAGCUCUUCAGUGUCGCAGCUAACGCAUUAAGCAUUCCGCCUGGGGAGUACGGUCGCAAGAUUAAAAACUCAAAGGGAAUUGACGGGGGCCCGCACAAGCGGUGAAGCAUGUGGUUUAAUUCGAAGCAACGCGCAGAACCUUACCAACCCUUGACAUGGGACGUAUGGGCUUCAGAGAUGAGGUCCUUCAGUUCGGCUGGCGUCCACACAGGUGCUGCAUGGCUGUCGUCAGCUCGUGUCGUGAGAUGUUGGGUUAAGUCCCGCAACGAGCCGCAACCCUCAUCUUCAGUUGCCAUCAUUUAGUUGGGCACUCUGAAGAAACUGCCGGUGACAAGCCGGAGGAAGGCGGGGAUGACGUCAAGUCCUCAUGGCCCUUACGGGUUGGGCUACACACGUGCUACAAUGGUGGUGACGAAUGGGGAGCGAGGCCGCGAGGCCAAGCCAAUCUCAAAAAGCCAUCUCU
rnacentral:rRNA from 1 species